GAUGAACGCUAGCGGGAGGCCUAACACAUGCAAGCCGAGCGGUAUUUGUUCUUCGGAACAGAGAGAGCGGCGCACGGGUGCGGAACACGUGUGCAACCUGCCUUUAUCUGGGGGAUAGCCUUUCGAAAGGAAGAUUAAUACCCCAUAAUAUAUUGAGUGGCAUCAUUUGAUAUUGAAAACUCCGGUGGAUAGAGAUGGGCACGCGCAAGAUUAGAUAGUUGGUGAGGUAACGGCUCACCAAGUCAAUGAUCUUUAGGGGGCCUGAGGGGGUGAUCCCCCACACUGGUACUGGGACACGGACCAGACUCCUACGGGAGGCAGCAGUGAGGAAUAUUGAACAAUGGGUUAGCGCCUGAUCCAGCCAUCCCGCGUGAAGGACGACGGCCCUAUGGGUUGUAAACUUCUUUUGUAUAGGGAUAAACCUACUCUCGUGAGAGUAGCUGAAGGUACUAUACGAAUAAGCACCGGCUAACUCCGUG
rnacentral:rRNA from 1 species